UACGUAGGCAGCGAGCGUUGUUCGGAGUUACUGGGCGUAAAGGGUGUGUAGGCGGUUGCUUAAGUUUGGUGUGAAAUCUCCCGGCUCAACCGGGAGGGUGCGCCGAAUACUGAGUGACUAGAGUGCGGGAGAGGAAAGUGGAAUUCCUGGUGUAGCGGUGAAAUGCGUAGAUAUCAGGAGGAACACCGGUGGCGUAGACGGCUUUCUGGACCGUAACUGACGCUGAGACACGAAAGCGUGGGUAGCAAACAGG
rnacentral:rRNA from 1 species